ACUUCCGAGCUGCCUGGUUCAGCAGUUUGUGAACCAUCAUUCCGUUCCCAUGUUAUCUCUACGAGGAGCUAAGUGAGGUCUAAUAUAUGUGGAAUUAUGAAAAGAUUUACCUAUUUCUUCGUUUUAAAAAGCACUUAUUUCAAUACCAAAACCAUGAAUUUUUUGCACCCAUUUGCAAUCACUUCAGUGAGCGUGAUGGCUUAGAUUCCCAAAAGAUGAGAAGCAGAAAGAAAUUAGAACAGAAAUAUAAGGUCAUCAUAACUGGAGUGUCUGGAGUCAGAUUCAUUGGCGUAGCAAUAAGUUUUUCAUAUGGACUGAUAUUCGCUUACAGCUUAAAGUGUUUGUAUUGAAAAUGUACAUAUUAUAAAUGUAUGUAAAAAAAUAAA